GAAAGCGUCUUUUCGUUCUCCUUCAGCCAGAGUACGCUUCCCUGAUCUGAAAACGUAUUCCGUGUCUGUGUCAGCAAGGUAUGCAUUUUCCCUGAAGCGAAGGCGUAUUCUUUAAAGUACGCUUUCUGUUUUUCUGUCCAGGCCCAAUUUGUUAAGAUUUUUCUUACAAAUAGGUCCCUGGCAGAAAAACAAGUGUAUCUUUUCAACCGUAGCUCCAAAUCAGGUGAUUCCAAAGCCCACAUAUUCGUUUCAUCGAGCCCGUUCUGAUGGAACCAUUUUCACCAUGUGUUUGACAUUCUGAAAACGACCAUUUUGCCCCUGCCCUUAUUCAUCCCCCUCCGAGAGAGUACGUUUUCCGGCGAUCCUUUCCGCGAGUUUCUCGCAGUUUCUGCCGGUGAUUUCUUCCACCCCAGGCAAGCCACACCCUCCAUUUGCAUUACUAUAAUGCAGUGACAUGGUUUAAUCUAUUUGAACUUGUUUAAAAUAUUGCUUUAGCUACAUGACUUUGUGCAUGGCAUUUUCUCGGAGUAUUAUUUUGAUCUUGUUGUUGCCAUGCUAUUGUUUGGAUUACUAGGAGUUAUGUUUGUAGUUGAUGAGUAUCAUGUUGCCAUUGGAGUAUUAGUGGUUGAUAUUAUGAUUGUUUUCAUGAUGAUAUCUGUUAUUAUAUUUUUGGAGUAUUACUUUGGAUGUCAUGCUGCCUUUGGAUUAUUAGUGGUUAGUAUGAUUAUUUUCAUGAUGCUAGUCGAUGUUAUGUUACUGUUGCUUGGAGUAUUAAUUUCGGAGAUGAUGUUUACGUGUGGAUCUUAGCUGGAUAGCUUUGUUCUUGUUAUUGGAGUAGUAGACUUAUUGUUUUCAGAUUCAUCACGAUAGAAAUGUUAUGCUAUCCUUGGAGUUUUUGAUAUGAUGAUAUUAUGCUCAGAUUAUUUGUUGGAUAUUGCUAUGACUUGGAUUAUAGUGUGAUAGUUGAUAUCGGAGUAUCAGUUAUCACAGUUAUAUUUUUGGGGAUAAAUUCCAUCAUUAAGUUGGUCAGGUGCCACCGAACCGGGCUUUCUCAAGUGCAACCACAUUUGCCUUUAUGGGAAGGCCCUAAUGUGAUAAUAUUGACGUGUCUCUCGCCAUUGCCUCCAACGAGGGAAGGUUAUGGGCACGCGCUACCCUGAUCAAGUAGGCGGACAUAAGCCUUGUGUGCACGUAGUUGGAUUUUGCGCGCUUUCGUCCCCGUUUGGGACCAUUUUAGUUUGCCACGACGGUGGCCGUUUUGCCAUGACUGUGGCCGUUGGUGCCUUUGGUAGGCACGGGGCCACCCAGUACUGAACCCAAAGGGGGUGUUGGUCGGAGUGGCCGGGAGAGUGGCAUGGCAGUAGAUCGGUUUUGUCGGAACGCCGUUGGUCCACCCGAAUGGGAGUUUGAGGCCAUGGGUUCCGUGGUGUGGGUACAGUGUGCUACCUCUGCAGAGUGUGUGUUUAAGCUAUCGAUAGCCGUGUCCGUACUAGGUCACACCGUUCGAUCAACACUCAUGUGACGGAAUGACUUAUAGCUGAUUUAUAUGAUGUAUGUGAGUAGUAACAGUUUGGCAGGAUGUUGAUGAUGAUGUUGAGAUGAUCUUGAGGAUGAUCAUUCAGUUUGUGAUGUGGUCACGAGGUGACCGUGUGGAUAUCUUGAUCACGAAGUGAUCAUAUGGACCACGAGGUGGUUGAGAUGGUAUAUUGCUUGGCCGGUUAGCCAAGAAUGAGAUUGUUGUUGGGAAUGAGAUGUUGGUUUAUCAGUAUUGUAGUAGUUUCAUAUCGUGCUUAGUAGUUGCUGUCGUAUCAUGGUAGAUGUUAAUUUAAUUAACCUGCUUAAUGCUAUGUUGUUGUCUUGCCUUGAUGCUUUUGGUUGUUGUGAGCUUGCAAGUACAUUCAAUGUACUGAUCUGGCGUGUCAUGCCAGAUUGCAGGUGAUGUCGUGAUUGCUUUAUUGCUUGUCGUGGUUUCCGUUCGUGCGAGCUAGAUCGUAUCCCUGUCAAAGUCCCUGCGGAGUGGAGUUCACCACCUUCAUCGUUGUUUCGCUGCUAGAAGAUUUCCGCUGCUUCGAGUUGUUCCGCUGCUAGCAUCGAGCAAGUGUAGUAUCGCAGGCGUAGUGUCGUCGUGCUGAUGUGGACCUUUUAACAUCAGACCUUUGUAUUUAUUCUUGUAAUAAGAGCUGAUUUGUUCUAUGUCAAGCAGUGUCGUAUUCCAGAGACUUCUCCUCGAUCUCUGGGUGGAAUACGGGGCGUUCUGGUUUCUUUGAUCCGGGGUGCCACAGGCUUGGUAUCAGAGCAGGUCUGGCUGUAAGACGCCCUAGUCAGGGCGAGCGGUAGAAACCGGUAGAAAUCUGUAAUUUAAAGUCUGGCUUGUAUAUUGCAUUUGUUUGUUGCAUAGCAUGCAUAUAGCCUUAUUAUUUGUUACUAACGGUUUAUCUAGUGAGUGUAGCUGGCAUCGGUUCGGAUCCACUACAGCUCAGCCUCUGCAUUUCUCCAGUUCCUUUUUCUUUCGGUGUUUGGUGUCAUUUCUGUCCCAGCAGAGUGAUGCCAAGUGAUCCCGACACUGUUUGCAGAAAUGGUGCUCAGGUAACGCGCCGAUGUCUUUCUUUCAGUCUCGCCUAUCGUUUCGGUGAUAGACAUGCUUCUAUCCCGGAUCAUUCUUUUAUUUUUUUCGUGUUGGCAACCAUUAAUGAUCUUAGCUAUCAAAAAAGGGCAAAGUCAACAGCCUCCGUUUUUCCUCGCUAUCCUUAUUUUUUGGACGAGUACAGAUCUUUUUCCGUCCGCUUGAUAAUAAUGUGGUUGCGACCUUCGUGUCCCACUACAUGGUUACCAAGUGCGUCCUCGCCUCCGAGCUAGUCCAGGUUGCUACCUGGCUAAGCUAGCACUUGGUGUAGCGCAGUUUACACCAAUUUUUCCACACAUUUAUUCGUCCUCGUGCACAUCGUCACAGCAUGCUAGAUCGUAGAACCGGAGAUUCCGCGAAAAUUGUGUGCUUAAGUAGACAUGCAUAUUGUGUGACUAGCAGUAAUAUGUGACAUUGAUUGUGUGUGAAUUGAUUGUUGUUGUGUGCUCUUGUUAGUUGAGUUUUCUUUUGCUUCUUUCUUUUUGGGCCCCGGUGUUACAUUAUUUUCCCCUAUAAAGAGUUGCUCAUCAACUGACACCAGACUCGAAGAAGCAAUAAGGAUUUCAAAUAAUUGGAAGAAGCUCAGCUGAACAUUAUGGUCCACCCAGUCAACUGCAUUAUGGCAUUAAUAUCUGCUCAGAAUACCAAUAGUGUCUUGGAUUGAUUAUCAGCAUCAAGUCCCCAUCAGUACCAAAUCCUCACAACAGUAAUGAUCAAGUCAGCAGCAAGACAAGUCAGGUACAAGCCCAACGGUAUAUUUUCAGGCAGAGGUAUGGAUCAUAUACAAAGUUUUGGCUCAACAAUGCAUGAUGCUUGAAAUAUCUUAUCAUCCGAAAUAAAGCCAGAAUGUGACAUGCUCGAGGAAGACAGUCAAACCAUUUUUCUCAUGCAAAUAAUCAGCCUCAGAAUAUUAUGGGCGUGUGUAUGGAUUUCAGUCUGCAUAUCAGUAUGAAGUUUUGGAUAUAAGAAACCCAGUAUUAUUCCACACGCUAUCGGAAGAAAUUUAUGAGGCAAGUCUCCUCAAUUUUUCCUCAGCAUGAUAUGUGAACAAUUUCCGGCCCAUGAUACCUGGUUUUUCUCAACAAGAUACCUCGGUAAAAUCUUCUGAUAGACGGAAAUGAAUUUUUCUCAACAAGCAAAACCGAGGAGAAACUUCUCAAGUACGGGACUCAGGCUUCUCCAGCACAAUAAUCAGACCAAGCUUCGUGUGUAAGCUAUAGAGCCUUUUUCUGCACGAUACCCAGACGAAAGAUUUGAGCAGAAGUUAACAAGUCCUCCUCAGCAAGCUACUCGGAUGACUUCUCUCGUAAGCCAUUCAGUCUGCGUCAGUAUCAUACUAUUACACCGUCCUCAGAGAUUAUAUGAUGAGUUGCCAAUAUAUGGCAGUUUCGCUCAAGAAUCAGACUCGUAACAUUUUUGUCGGAAGCACAAAUCAGUCAAAGCAUAGGUCUUCUUCAGAAAUCAAGUGUCUGAAUACGUAUCUUUCCGCAUAUAUGGUGAACAUGUAUCCCCAGUCAUAUUAGUCACUCAUAUGAGAUGCGGCAAGGAUCCAGCAGAUAUACCUAAGGAAAGUAAGGAUUCAACAACAUCACGAGUCAAGUAAAGGAAAAUAAGCAUAGAUACAUCUCAUGAAUUACAAGGAUUGACAAGAUCUAGGGAUGACAUCACAGAAUCCACAGUCUUGACAAUGGUCAUCAAGGUCAUUAUUCCCACACCAAACAAGGUGAUAUCAUGAAACCUUGUCACCUUCUUGUAUGAUUGGCCUCAGCAAUGAGUUCCGUACAGCUACAAACCCCGAGUAUAUGUCAUAUAUGUGCGGACACAGGUUAGAAAAACAAGCACAAGGAAUAAUGUCAAAAAUAUUAAUCACAUCCAUGGUCAUACGAAGAAUCAAGGACAGGCGUGGCCAAGUUAUUUCAGCAAGCUAUCCUGACAAAGAAAAUCAUGAUCGUUAAAAGGUGAGACCGACAACAAAGGUAUGAUGAUUUUGCACGACCAUCAGGGUCCGGAUACCCCAAGUCAGUUGGAGGCCAUAAUUCCAUAUGGAUCCACAAAAACAUACAACUUCAGCGGCCUACUCUAUUUACAAGGAUUUUCAUAUCCCGCUGACCCGCUUGACAUGGUUAGUGUGGAAUAUCCAAGUCUGUUCUGUCAGAUCCAAGAUUCCUUUGCAACCUCAACAGUUUGACCUCAGCGGCAGUGUUAAAACAUAUCACAGCGUAUUACCAAAGAUGGGUAUACCGACAAAAUGAGAAAGUCAAAAGCCGAAUAAUCAGCUCAGACCCGGUAUACUCGCCGACGGAAUCAAGUACACGGUCAGUCUAUCAGGAAAGGCAUUGUCCGUCAGCCCCCUGUCGGGCAAAGUCUCAAGAUGUAAAUAUUUGAGGUAUGACAUAGCUAUAACUCCAUACACCGUUAUAUUGCUCACGACAGAAGGCAGUCAAAUCUCUGGUAUAUGCCACAUGCUCGAGCCAAAGGAAAUAAAUCAAGAUAAAUCAGUGCCACCUAUGAGCAGUCAGAUCCCGUCAGAAGAUGGCCAUGAUUAAUUCUAAGCAUUUAUUGAACCCAGAAGGCUUGCAUUUAUUUGAAGCAACCCCAUGACAUAAGUAAAAAGGUUUUCAUGACCAAAGGAAAAUUUAUGCUCAGAUCCAUUGGAUAUCACCGCAGAUAUGAGAAAAUUCACGUCAGCAAAAGGAAGUGGUAUAUGAGAAAAAACCCGUCAUAAUUUGGGGAAAGGUGAAGCAAGCCACCCCAGAGCAAGGUAAGUUGAUCAUCUGAAAUUCUUGGGGGAACAAUAAAUAAAGGAAAAAAGGAUACCCGAGUUGGAAAAGGUAUCCUCAAGGCAUACUUGUUCCCAGAGCAACUAAAUCUCGAGGACGAGAUUUCCUUAAGGGGGUAAGAGUUGUAACAGCCUGGAUUUUGGCCCUUUUCUUUUUCUUUUGAUUUAUUUGGUUUUUGCUCUGUUUUUUUUUUGAAGUGGUUCUGUGGCCUUGCCACCUGGGAAAUCAUCCUCAUUCCCCCUCCCAAGUGGCUCAGCAUUCUCAAAACCUUGCCAAGAUCAUGUCACUUCACUCCUUGAACAAACCCUAAAAUCUUUUCUAGGGAAUAUUCCUUUUUCUAAUAAAGGAAUAACCCUAUCUACCCUAGGUUGUGAAGCAACCCACAUUUCUGUCCGUCCAAAAAUUCCCAAUUAAUUCUCAAAAUUCCUUUGGGUCAUAUGUUCAUCAAAUAUGCCCAAACUUUCCUGUCCUAGCCCAACAAUAAUUCCCCAAUAAUUAUUCUUCAUUUCUGUCCUGAAUGGAACUUUGUGAAGUAAGUGUCAUUUAUAUUUUCCUAGUGGCUCCCAAGAUUUUUGGGCAUUCUUGUAUGUCCAAAUAAUUGCCUCAUGCACAAGUUCAACUUUGUGAAUUUUCAAAGUUUCUGUCAGACAGAAGGCUUUGUGAAGGAAGUACUAUCUAGGAGUAUCCAAAUGAGUUAAACUUUUGCACACUCCUUAAUGUGCUCAUAUUAACCCCCUCCAUUCUUGUAUGUCCACCCAUUUUCAGCCUCAUCCAAUCAUCUAUGUGAGCACAGGAGCAAAUAUUUGAUUCUGGCAAUAUUUUCAGGUUGUGAAGCAAGUGUAUUUUAUAUUGCUUAAAAAAUCCUGUUAAAUUACCAGAUCAUUCUUCUACCCAUAAAACAUCUCUCCACCAAAUUUGGCAUCAUUUCAUGGAUCCAUUUGAUCACCAAAAUUAUUUCAAGUUUCUGGACAGAAAUGAUGCUUGUGAAGCAAGUGCAAUUUUGGCGUGUCCAUUUGGCAUGAGCUUUUUACAGCAUCUUUAUAUGUCCAUAUCAUGAGGAUUUGCCAAGUUGCAUCCCAUUCCAUAACACCAUGUGAGUGCAUCAUCCAAAUCUUGAUUCUGGACCAAUUUUGGGGUUACAUAGCAACUAUAUUAGUUUGUGCUCCAUUAUGCUCCAAAACCUCCAGGAUCAUAAUCCUUCCGUAGUUAAUCAUCCCAGACAACACCAUUUGACCCAAUCAGUUUCCUGUUGAUCAGCAGUGUUCUGCCAAGUUUGAUGCAGUAAACUUCAGAGCUUAGUUACCAUUUAACCAUAGCACCAUAGAUGAAGCCAUGGCAUCAUAAAUGAUCCACCCUGGAAGGACUAGCUCCCAGACAUAGUUUGCCAUCCUCUACAGCCCUCCCCGUGCCACGUCGUGUGGUGACUGCGCAGAUGGCAUGCACAUUUACGCGCUCUGUGCGCUGUGGCGUGUCCAGAGCACCGUUUGUGCUUUGUCACCGCUCCCUCUCGUCGUCUUAGAGCUCGUGAGCCUGUCCAGUGGCUGCAUCUCGUCGUCGUUGUUCCCCUGGACCCCUCUCCCCCUCCGUCAGCUUCCUCACCGACGCACACCGCCACGUGCCCACGGACGUACAGUGGUGUUUUGGCUCGAUUCGUCGCCGUCGUCUUCCUCCCUGUGCUCCCUUGGCCGCCUCUUCCCCGUGAGAUCUUCCUCCUGUUCCCUCUCGUCGCCUAACACCGAGCUCAUGCAUGUGCACACGCGUCCGCGGUGCCGGAAACGUAUCCACGGCGAUGCCAGCUCGGCCUCCUCGCCUCGCACCUAUUUAAGGCCUCCCCCGAGCCCUCCGAGCGCUCCAAGCUCUUCCUCACCCUCCCAGCAACCUCCCCGACCCAUCCGUUCGACUCCAGAGCCCUCAUCGCCUCGGUUGGCCUCCGCGGCCACGCUCCCCGAUUGGCUCAAGCCGGAGCCCCUCUCCUCAUUCCUCCUCCACCCGUAGCCCAACCAGACCCCGGCGAACCUCUCCCAUCCCUCUUUUCCUCGCCGGAGCCGUUGUGGCCACGCGCCCAAGUUUCGGCCGUCGCCCUCGUUCUCAGUCGCCGCAAGCCGCCGUCGUUCCGCUCCGUCCUGGCGCUGCUGCGGGGUGCAGACGGGUGCGGGACGUCUCGCCACACUCGCUGGUGCCCUCACUCCGGCGGGAGGUGGCCGGAGAUGGCUGGGCCGGCGCCGGCCUCGCUGCUGCCUCCUCUGCUCUGCGGGCGUGCGUCGGGCGAGAGGAAGGAGAUGAGGCCGCUCCCUGCCAGCUGGCCAUGGACCCCGCGGUCCCACCUGGCAGUGGCUCAAGCCGCGGCCCCGCCCCUGGUGACUGGAUUAAGUGGAAGCGUAAACCCGUGAGUGCGUUUUCGCUAUCAGAAAGCGUCUUUUCGUUCUCCUUCAGCCAGAGUACGCUUCCCUGAUCUGAAAACGUAUUCCGUGUCUGUGUCAGCAAGGUAUGCAUUUUCCCUGAAGCGAAGGCGUAUUCUUUAAAGUACGCUUUCUGUUUUUCUGUCCAGGCCCAAUUUGUUAAGAUUUUUCUUACAGAUAGGUCCCUGGCAGAAAAACAAGUGUAUCUUUUCAACCGUAGCUCCAAAUCAGGUGAUUCCAAAGCCCACAUAUUCGUUUCAUCGAGCCCGUUCUGAUGGAACCAUUUUCACCAUGUGUUUGACAUUCUGAAAACGACCAUUUUGCCCCUGCCCUUAUUCAUCCCCCUUCGAGAGAGUACGUUUUCCGGCGAUCCUUUCCGCGAGUUUCUCGCAGUUUCUGCCGGUGAUUUCUUCCACCCCAGGCAAGCCACACCCUCCAUUUGCAUUACUAUAAUGCAGUGACAUGGUUUAAUCUAUUUGAACUUGUUUAAAAUAUUGCUUUAGCUACAUGACUUUGUGCAUGGCAUUUUCUCAGAGUAUUAUUUUGAUCUUGUUGUUGCCAUGCUAUUGUUUGGAUUACUAGGAGUUAUGUUUGUAGUUGAUGAGUAUCAUGUUGCCAUUGGAGUAUUAGUGGUUGAUAUUAUGAUUGUUUUCAUGAUGAUAUCUGUUAUUAUAUUUUUGGAGUAUUACUUUGGAUGUCAUGCUGCCUUUGGAUUAUUAGUGGUUAGUAUGAUUAUUUUCAUGAUGCUAGUCGAUGUUAUGUUACUGUUGCUUGGAGUAUUAAUUUCGGAGAUGAUGUUUACGUGUGGAUCUUAGCUGGAUAGCUUUGUUCUUGUUAUUGGAGUAGUAGACUUAUUGUUUUCAGAUUCAUCAUGAUAGAAAUGUUAUGCUGUCCUUGGAGUAUUUUGAUAUGAUGAUAUUAUGCUCAGAUUAUUUGUUGGAUAUUGCUAUGACUUGGAUUAUAGUUUGAUAGUUGAUAUCGGAGUAUCAGUUAUCACAGUUAUAUUUUUGGGGAUAAAUUCCAUCAUUAAGUUGGUCAGGUGCCACCGAACCGGGCUUUCUCAAGUGCAACCACAUUUGCCUUUAUGGGAAGGCCCUAAUGUAAUGCUAUUGCCGUGUCUCUCGCCGGUGCCUCCAACGAGGGAAGGUUAUGGGCGUGCGCUACCCUGAUCAGGUAGGCGGACAUAAGCCUUGUGUGCCCGUAGUUGGAUUUUGCGCGCUUUUGUCCCCGAUUGGGACCGUUUUUGUUUGCCACGACGGUGGCCGUUGGUGCCUUUGGUAGGCGCGGGGCCACCCAGGAAUGAACCCAAAGGGGGUGUUGGUCAGAGUGGUCGGGAGAGUGUCAUGGCAGUAGAUCGGUUUUGUCGGAACGCCGUUGGUCCACCCGAAUGGGAGUGCGAGGCCGUGGGGUUCCGUGGUGUGGGUACAGUGCGCUACCUCUGCAGAGUGUGUGUUUAAGCUAUCGAUAGCCGCGUCCGUACUAGGUCACACCGUUUGAUCAACACUCUCGUGACGGAAUGACUUAUAGUUGAUUUAUAUGAUGUAUGUGAACAGUAAUAGUUUGGCAGGAUGUUGAUGAUGAUGUUGAGAUGAUCUUGAGGAUGAUCAUUCAGUUUGUGAUGUGGUCACGAGGUGACCGUGUGGAUAUGUUGAUCACGAGGUGGUCGAGAUGGUAUAUUGCUUGGCCGGUUAGCCAAGAAUGAGAUUGUUGUUGGGAAUGAGAUGUUGGUUUAUCAGUAUUGUAGUAGUUUCAUAUCAUGCUUCGUAGUUGUUGUCUUAUCAUGGUAGAUGUUAAUUUAAUUAACCUGCUUAAUGCUAUGUUGUUGUCUUGCCUUGAUGCUUUUGGUUGUUGUGAGCUUGCAAGUACAUUCAAUGUACUGACCUGGCGUGUCAUGUCAGAUUGCAUGUGAUGCCGUGAUUGCUUGAUUGCUUGUCGUGGUUUCCGUUCGUGCGAGCUAGAUCGUGUCCCAGCCAGAGUCCCUGCGGAGUGGAGUUCACCACCUUCGUCGUUGUUCCGCUGCUAGAAGAUUUUCGCUGCUUCGAGUUGUUCUGCUGCUAGCAUAGAGCAAGUAUAGUAUCGCAGGCGUAGUGUCGUCGUGCUGAUGUGGACCUUUGUAACAUCAGACCUUUAUAUUUAUUCUUGUAAUAAGAGAUGAUUUGUUCUAUGUCAAGCAAUGUCGUAUUCCAGAGACUUCUCCUCGAUCUCUUGGCUGGAAUACGGGGCGUUCCGGUUUCUCUGAGCCGGGGUGCCACAUCGGGAUAGUGCGGUUCUUCUCCGAGUUGUACAUGUCGGAUCCAAGCUUUUGCAGGCUUGAGAUGCGUUCCAAACAACGGUGCCCGGGCCACGGGCUCAUUCCCGCUCGUUGUGUGGCCUGGGGAGGAGCAAGCACCGGGAGAUGUUUCCUUGGUUGCCCACAUGAUGUAAUUCACAUAGAUUUUCUCUGUUUUGCCUUACAUUGUUGCCAAGAUUGCAUUUUUGAUGAGAUUAUUGAUGUUGCGGCUUCCUGAUGAAUGUGAAUUGGUUGUUUGGGUUGACCCUCCUCCUCCAGAUCGUGUUGGACGUGCUAUCGAGGAACUACAUGUUGGGCUAGAGCGAAGCUGAUGGAAACAUGCGCAUUUUUAUGAUUGUUGGCAUAUGCAUUGUGGCAUAUUUAUUUCCUUCGAAGAAUGCAUAUUAGGUGAUGCUGUAGGCAGUGAGAUUUUAAUGUGUUUGGUUGCUGAAGUUGAGUAGAAUUUGCUGUGAGUGGUUCUUGGUGGUGAACCUUUGAUGUUGUCCACAUUUUGCAAAGGAAAUGAGAAGCAUCAGCUUGGUCUUGUGAUUUGUUUUACUGUAUGUUUUCUUUAUUUUGGUACUUUAAAUGACAAUGCAUCAGUGUGGUCUUAUAACAACAGAU
rnacentral:lncRNA from 1 species